rnacentral:rRNA from 1 species
UACGAAGGGGGCUAGCGUUGUUCGGAAUCACUGGGCGUAAAGAGUACGUAGGCGGAUUGUUAAGUCAGGGGUGAAAUCCCGAGGCUCAACCUCGGAACUGCCUUUGAUACUGGCAGUCUUGAGUCCGGGAGAGGUGAGUGGAACUCCUAGUGUAGAGGUGAAAUUCGUAGAUAUUAGGAAGAACACCAGUGGCGAAGGCGGCUCACUGGCCCGGAACUGACGCUGAGGUACGAAAGCGUGGGGAGCAAACAGG